rnacentral:rRNA from 1 species
UCUUGGCUUGUCCAUUAUUAUCUAUUUACUGUGAACUGUAUUAUUAUUUGACAUUUGAGGGAUGUUCCAAUGUUAUAAGGAUAGACAUUGGAAAUGUUAACCGAGUCAUAAUCAGGUUUAGGCCUGGUAUCCUAUUAUUAUUUACCAAAUGAAUUCAGAAUUAAUAUUGUAACAUAGACCUAAAAAAUCUAUAAAACAACUUUUAACAACGGAUCUCUUGGUUCUCGCAUCGAUGAAGAACGUAGCAAAGUGCGAUAACUAGUGUGAAUUGCAUAUUCAGUGAAUCAUCGAGUCUUUGAACGCAACUUGCGCUCAUUGGUAUUCCAAUGAGCACGCCUGUUUCAGUAUCAAAACAAACCCUCUAUCCAACUUUUGUUGUAUAGGAUUAUUGGGGGCCUCUCGAUCUGUAUAGAUCUUGAAAUCCCUGAAAUUUACUAAGGCCUGAACUUGUUUAAAUGCCUGAACUUUUUUUUAAUAUAAAGGAAAGCUCUUGUAAUUGACUUUGAUGGGGCCUCCCAAAUAAAUCUCUUUUAAAUUUGAUCUGAAAUCAGGCGGGAUUACCCGCUGAACUUAAGCAU